rnacentral:misc_RNA from 1 species
UUGACUUUAUUUGCGUUAAAACUCAGAAGGUAAAAGUUACUAGAGUUUUUAUUUUGGGCCAGCGGCUGGCGCCGGCGCCUGGAGGCGACCGGUCUGUCCGGCCCACAGGUGGGGCCGCCCGCCGAGGCAACGGUUUUAUUUAGGUCCACAGAAGGGUUAUUUGAGUGCGAAGACUCGGUAAUGAUCCCUCCGCUGGUUCACCAACGGAGA